rnacentral:rRNA from 2 species
UCAUGUCAUAAAACUGGCCGGUUACUAAAAAUUACAAUUUAAAACCUAAAGAACUUGGCGGUGUCUUAUCAUACCAGGGGAACCUGUUCCUUAAUUCGAUAAUCCACGAAACCACUACCACUAAUUGAAGAAUCAGCUUGUAUACUGCCGUCAUCAGCAUACCUUAAAAAGAUACAGUAUGCAAUAAUAAUAUAAAUUAUUUAUGUCAGGUCAUAGUACAGCCUAUUUAGUGGAGGAAAUGGGUUACAAUCAUUAUAUAGAUACCAAAAAUAAAACUAAAGUUUUAUCCAAAGGUGGACUUGGCAGUAAUGAUAUACUAGAAAACUAUCAUGAAAACAGAUCUAAGACAUGCACACAUCGCCCGUCACUCCCCUCUAAAGAGG